AGCUUUGCGCAGAGGCGGUGUCGUACACAAUGAAGUAGGGGCGACUAUUGCUAGUUGAAAACUUUUUUUUUCUUAAACUUUCUUACGCUUGCCGGCUUGGGUUGUGAAUGCGAAAGCUUCAGAUGCUUCAUCAAUCACAAGAAG